rnacentral:rRNA from 1 species
AGAGUUUGAUCCUGGCUCAGGAUGAACGCUGGCGGCGUGGAUGAGGCAUGCAAGUCGAACGGUCCCGAUAAAAUCGCAAGAAAUUAUCGAGAUAGUGGCGAACGGGUUAGUAACGCGUAGGUACAAACCCCCAAGAUGAGAAUAACCCAUCGAAAGAUGGGCUAAUACUCAAUGGCCCCGCAGCAAUGCGGGGUAAAAGGCUCGCAAGAGCCGCUCGGGGAUUGGCCUGCGUCCUACCAGGUAGUUGGUGAGGUAACGGCUCACCAAGCCUAUGACGGGUAGGGGGACUGAGAGGUUGUUCCCCAACAACGGAACUGCGACACGGUCCAUACUCCUACGGGAGGCAGCAGCCGAGAAUAUUCCACAAUGUGCGAAAGCGCGAUGGAGCGACGCCGCGUGACUGAAGAAGCCCUUCGGGGUGUAAAGGUCUUUUUGCUAUGAAGAAUCCUGUCUGCCGACAGGCAGGUUCGAUGACGGUAAUAGCAGAAUAAGGGGCUCCUAAACUCGUGCCAGCAGGAGCGGUAAUACGAGUGCCCCAAGCGUUAUCCGGAUUUAUUGGGCGUAAAGCGUCUGUAGGGGGCUUAAAUAGUCUGUAGUUAAAUUCUCCGGCUCAACUGGAGAACUGCUGCGGAAACGUUUAGGCUAGAGCUUAUCAGAGGCCGAUGGAACUUACGGUGUAGGGGUGAAAUCCGUUGAUAUCGUAGGGAACACCAAAGGCGAAGGCAAUCGGCUGGGAUAAUGCUGACCCUGAGAGACGAAAGCGUGGGGAGCAAACAGGAUUAGAUACCCUGGUAGUCC